GACGAACGCUGGCGGCGUGCUUAACACAUGCAAGUCGAACGGUAAGGCCCUUCGGGGUACACGAGUGGCGAACGGGUGAGUAACACGUGGGUGAUCUGCCCUGCACUUCGGGAUAAGCCUGGGAAACUGGGUCUAAUACCGGAUAGGACCACUGCCUGCAUGGGUGGUGGUGGAAAGCUUUUGCGGUGUGGGAUGGGCCCGCGGCCUAUCAGCUUGUUGGUGGGGUGAUGGCCUACCAAGGCGACGACGGGUAGCCGGCCUGAGAGGGUGACCGGCCAGACUGGGACUGAGAUACGGCCCAGACUCCUACGGGAGGCAGCAGUGGGGAAUAUUGCACAAUGGGCGCAAGCCUGAUGCAGCGACGCCGCGUGAGGGAUGACGGCCUUCGGGUUGUAAACCUCUUUCAGCACCGACGAAGCGCAAGUGACGGUAGGUGCAGAAGAAGGACCGGCCAACUACGUGCCGGCAGCCGCAGUAA
rnacentral:rRNA from 1 species